GGGUUGUGAGGUUAAGCGACUAAGCGUACACGGUGGAUGCCCUGGCAGUCAGAGGCGAUGAAGGACGUGCUAAUCUGCGAUAAGCGUCGGUAAGGUGAUAUGAACCGUUAUAACCGGCGAUUUCCGAAUGGGGAAACCCAGUGUGAUUCGUCACACUAUCAUUAACUGAAUCCAUAGGUUAAUGAGGCGAACCGGGGGAACUGAAACAUCUAAGUACCCCGAGGAAAAGAAAUCAACCGAGAUUCCCCCAGUAGCGGCGAGCGAACGGGGAGCAGCCCAGAGCCUGAAUCAGUGUGUGUGUUAGUGGAAGCGUCUGGAAAGGCGCGCGAUACAGGGUGACAGCCCCGUACACAAAAAUGCACAUAUUGUGAGCUCGAUGAGUAGGGCGGGACACGUGGUAUCCUGUCUGAAUAUGGGGGGACCAUCCUCCAAGGCUAAAUACUCCUGACUGACCGAUAGUGAACCAGUACCGUGAGGGAAAGGCGAAAAGAACCCCGGCGAGGGGAGUGAAAAAGAACCUGAAACCGUGUACGUACAAGCAGUGGGAGCACGCUUCGGCGUGUGACUGCGUACCUUUUGUAUAAUGGGUCAGCGACUUAUAUUCUGUAGCAAGGUUAACCGAAUAGGGGAGCCGAAGGGAAACCGAGUCUUAACUGGGCGUUAAGUUGCAGGGUAUAGACCCGAAACCCGGUGAUCUAGCCAUGGGCAGGUUGAAGGUUGGGUAACACUAACUGGAGGACCGAACCGACUAAUGUUGAAAAAUUAGCGGAUGACUUGUGGCUGGGGGUGAAAGGCCAAUCAAACCGGGAGAUAGCUGGUUCUCCCCGAAAGCUAUUUAGGUAGCGCCUCGUGAAUUCAUCUCCGGGGGUAGAGCACUGUUUCGGCAAGGGGGUCAUCCCGACUUACCAACCCGAUGCAAACUGCGAAUACCGGAGAAUGUUAUCACGGGAGACACACGGCGGGUGCUAACGUCCGUCGUGAAGAGGGAAACAACCCAGACCGCCAGCUAAGGUCCCAAAGUCAUGGUUAAGUGGGAAACGAUGUGGGAAGGCCCAGACAGCCAGGAUGUUGGCUUAGAAGCAGCCAUCAUUUAAAGAAAGCGUAAUAGCUCACUGGUCGAGUCGGCCUGCGCGGAAGAUGUAACGGGGCUAAACCAUGCACCGAAGCUGCGGCAGCGACACUAUGUGUUGUUGGGUAGGGGAGCGUUCUGUAAGCCUGUGAAGGUGUGCUGUGAGGCAUGCUGGAGGUAUCAGAAGUGCGAAUGCUGACAUAAGUAACGAUAAAGCGGGUGAAAAGCCCGCUCGCCGGAAGACCAAGGGUUCCUGUCCAACGUUAAUCGGGGCAGGGUGAGUCGACCCCUAAGGCGAGGCCGAAAGGCGUAGUCGAUGGGAAACAGGUUAAUAUUCCUGUACUUGGUGUUACUGCGAAGGGGGGACGGAGAAGGCUAUGUUGGCCGGGCGACGGUUGUCCCGGUUUAAGCGUGUAGGCUGGUUUUCCAGGCAAAUCCGGAAAAUCAAGGCUGAGGCGUGAUGACGAGGCACUACGGUGCUGAAGCAACAAAUGCCCUGCUUCCAGGAAAAGCCUCUAAGCAUCAGGUAACAUCAAAUCGUACCCCAAACCGACACAGGUGGUCAGGUAGAGAAUACCAAGGCGCUUGAGAGAACUCGGGUGAAGGAACUAGGCAAAAUGGUGCCGUAACUUCGGGAGAAGGCACGCUGAUAUGUAGGUGAAGUCCCUCGCGGAUGGAGCUGAAAUCAGUCGAAGAUACCAGCUGGCUGCAACUGUUUAUUAAAAACACAGCACUGUGCAAACACGAAAGUGGACGUAUACGGUGUGACGCCUGCCCGGUGCCGGAAGGUUAAUUGAUGGGGUCAGCGCAAGCGAAGCUCUUGAUCGAAGCCCCGGUAAACGGCGGCCGUAACUAUAACGGUCCUAAGGUAGCGAAAUUCCUUGUCGGGUAAGUUCCGACCUGCACGAAUGGCGUAAUGAUGGCCAGGCUGUCUCCACCCGAGACUCAGUGAAAUUGAACUCGCUGUGAAGAUGCAGUGUACCCGCGGCAAGACGGAAAGACCCCGUGAACCUUUACUAUAGCUUGACACUGAACAUUGAGCCUUGAUGUGUAGGAUAGGUGGGAGGCUUUGAAGUGUGGACGCCAGUCUGCAUGGAGCCGACCUUGAAAUACCACCCUUUAAUGUUUGAUGUUCUAACGUUGACCCGUAAUCCGGGUUGCGGACAGUGUCUGGUGGGUAGUUUGACUGGGGCGGUCUCCUCCUAAAGAGUAACGGAGGAGCACGAAGGUUGGCUAAUCCUGGUCGGACAUCAGGAGGUUAGUGCAAUGGCAUAAGCCAGCUUGACUGCGAGCGUGACGGCGCGAGCAGGUGCGAAAGCAGGUCAUAGUGAUCCGGUGGUUCUGAAUGGAAGGGCCAUCGCUCAACGGAUAAAAGGUACUCCGGGGAUAACAGGCUGAUACCGCCCAAGAGUUCAUAUCGACGGCGGUGUUUGGCACCUCGAUGUCGGCUCAUCACAUCCUGGGGCUGAAGUAGGUCCCAAGGGUAUGGCUGUUCGCCAUUUAAAGUGGUACGCGAGCUGGGUUUAGAACGUCGUGAGACAGUUCGGUCCCUAUCUGCCGUGGGCGCUGGAGAACUGAGGGGGGCUGCUCCUAGUACGAGAGGACCGGAGUGGACGCAUCACUGGUGUUCGGGUUGUCAUGCCAAUGGCACUGCCCGGUAGCUAAAUGCGGAAGAGAUAAGUGCUGAAAGCAUCUAAGCACGAAACUUGCCCCGAGAUGAGUUCUCCCUGACCCUUUAAGGGUCCUGAAGGAACGUUGAAGACGACGACGUUGAUAGGCCGGGUGUGUAAGCGCAGCGAUGCGUUGAGCUAACCGGUACUAAUGAACCGUGAGGCUUAACCUUACAACGCCGAAGCUGUU
rnacentral:rRNA from 1 species